rnacentral:lncRNA from 1 species
UAAUGGAUUGAUCAAUGAAACUGUCCGUAUCUCCACAACUUUUCAAUUAAAUAGAAAGUUUCAAUCAAACAGGAUACUGAGUGUGCCUACUGCUCCUCAAGACAAUGGAUAAUGGGAGUCAUCAAACUUGCGAUAACUACAAGUUUUUUUAAUAAGUAAAAAGAUUGUAUGACUUCGGUAUCCGCAAUAUGGUAUCGUGCAUUGGUUCUUAUCUUAGAAUGGCUCCCUUCCGUAUAGGU